GGCGGUGGCAGGAGUAGAAGCUGGUACGGUGGUUGGCUCGAUAGCCGCGGCGACGGAGGCUUCAGUGACAUUUUUGCCUUUAGGCGCAGCAGCAGUGGUGGGCUGAGCGCCAGGGUUGGAUGUGCCGGCGCCGGAGGAGGCUUUGACCAAUCUUCUCCUCUUGGGAGCUUUGGUGCUCUCGGCUUGGUUCUCAGCACCGCCCCGUUUUUUCACGUCGCCCUCAGUGUUGAACUUUGGGGAAAAGCGAGCCAUUCUCCUCUCGCGGGCCUUCAGGAGCUCGGCGUUCGUGAAAUUCAUAUCUUCUGUAACAAUAAAAAAUACGAUCAGUGACAACAUAGGAGACGAGAAAGGAAAUGUCAAUAAUAAAAGUGAGCUAUGGGCAACCUAAGUAUUUGGGAGUUCUUGAGAGGUCAGCGCCCUCAAGGACUGUUGUGCAGUCAAGGAUGGGAAGUGGGGCAAGGAGAUUAAGAAAGGCUUUGUCGUUGGCGGACAAAGAUUCCUCUGAAGGAUCGGUGAUCCCAUUGGGCUUCUCCGUCCAGUAAAGAGGAAAAAGGGCGGUCCCGUCUCUAAGGGUGAAUGCCUCUGGGUAGGCGGGAUGAACCGCCACACGGAAGUACUUCCGUGCGAAGGAGGACUUCGCGUUACUUUUGUGAGGAUGCAAGCACUUCCGGCCGGCUCGGGCCUUCAAGGAAAUCCAUCCUUUGUUUUUGAUGGACUUGGGGUCGACGUCGUAGA
rnacentral:lncRNA from 1 species